UUAUAAGAAAAUAUGUAAUAUAAUAAAACAUAAUGUUUAAGCUUUAAUAUGAAAAUAUUUUAAACCUGAGGAAUUAAAUCCAAAAGAAAUCCAACCGAGCCACCAAUAAAGUAAAAAAAAAGAUCUUUGGUCGCCGAGAAAGAGCAGCCAAUCAAAUCAAAUUCCUGUUAUGCAUACAACAGGGCGCAACAUUUACGUAAUAACUCGACCGAUAAUUGAACGCAGGAUAUUUUAUUAUUCCUCCUCCCGAGAUGGAAAGCAACGAAAGAUCCUUCAUUUCCAUAGAAAGGUACACACCGGAACGGGAAAAAGGAUAAUAAACGAUCCACAAUCCUCAUCAUCGAUUCCUUUGUUGACUGAAUACGAACCAAUUUGCAAGAUGGUCAUUAAGCUACGUGGUUCAUCGUUCGUAAAUAAUCUGGCGAGGAUCGAGUGGUUGGUUAACUGUACACUCGGUCCUGAACGACUUCUUUCUGACAUCAGGAUCCUCGAGGCGAAUUUCCAUCACUUUAAGGAUAAAAAUAGAGUUGUCUUGGUUGGACUGGAUGGCUGGGAGAUUGGGCGGUGAGGAGCAAAAAGCACUUGGAUGGAGAAAAUGAAGCAGCUAUUAUAUGGCGUCGUGUCUCAGUUUAGGGGGUGCGUUAGAGACCUGUAAAGUGUUUCGUGGAUCAAUCUUUUUAAAGGAUCUCUUUCUAUUGAGAAGAAGGGAAAAAGAUAAAUUAGAAUUGACAUAAAGAGAAUAAGACAAAGUUCUUAAAUUGACACAAGGCUAGGGGGUUUUCACAAGGAUUUGGCAAAUUUUCUUCAUUGAGUUCAAAGAAGGGCAGAAGUGAAUCAAGAAGAUACCCGAUCAAAAUUCAACAUUUUACUUUAGAAUUUAACUCUCUAUUUCCUUUAUCUUUGAGAAGAAAAUUAUUGAGAAUUAGAUAGAAUAAGAAGGAUGUCCUAACAUAGUUAUCUUUUUAUAUACUUUAAUGCAACAAAUGGUUUCGAAGGUUAUUUCAAGAAACUAUUUUCAAAAUUGUUUUUAAAAGUGAACAAGAUGCUGGCAUUGUUGCAUAGUUUCUCAAAGGAAAUAUGAAGGUAAUCAUAUUUCAUAUUUCAUAAAAUUCAAUGAUUUUCUUAUUGCAUACCUUGCAUAUCUUAUAUUUAAAAUACGUAUAUUUAUUUGAGAAA